GUCCGCCCAGGGUUAGUCGCAUCCUAAGUCGAGGCUGAAAAGCGUAGACGAUGGGUAACAGGUUAAUAUUCCUGUACCACCACUAGGCGGUUGAAUCUAGGAGAGACGCAAGCAUUAGAAUCUACUAGCGGAUGGAAGUGCUAGGUCAAGCGGACGGAGGUUCCGGUUAAUCCCGGAAGUUGCCUCUGGAAGUGAUGAGGUGUCCUUAAGGACUGAACUGAUUCGGUUGUUUGCCAAGAAAAGAACUCCGAGAGGACAAAUAGUGGUGUGCGUACCGCAAACCAACACAGGUAGGCAAGGAGAAUAUCCUAAGGCGCUCGAGAGAACUCUCGCUAAGGAACUCGGCAAAAUGGCUCCGUAACUUCGGGAGAAGGAGUGCUUGAGUUGGCUGGUUCGCCAGCCUAGCGAAAGCCGCAGUGAAAAGGCCCAUGCGACUGUUUACUAAAAACACAGGUCUGUGCUAAAUCGCAAGAUGAAGUAUACGGACUGACACCUGCCCGGUGCUGAAAAGUUAAAGAGAGGGGUUAGAGCUUAGGCUCGAAGCUCUGAACUGAAGCUUCAGUAAACGGCGGCGGUAACUAUAACCGUCCUAAGGUAGCGAAAUUCCUCGUCGGGUAAAAUCCGACCUGCACGAAUGGUGUAACGAUAUGGGCACUGUCUCAGCGAGAGGCUCGGCGAAAUUGUAUUAUCGGUGAAGAUGCCGAUUACCCGUAAAAAGACGGAAAGACCCCGUGAACCUUUACUAUAGCUUGAUAUUGAAUUUGGGUUUAGCUUGUGUAGGAUAGGUGGGAGACUUUGAAGCUGGAGCGCUAGCACCAGUGGAGUCGUCCUUGAAAUACCACUCUUGUUGUAUCUAAAUCCUAACUCUGGUUUGUAUAUCCAAGCCGAGGACAGUUUCAGGUGGGUAGUUUGACUGGGGCGGUCGCCUCCCAAAAUGUAACGGAGGCGCCCUAAGGUUCCCUCAGCGUGAUUGGAAACCACGCGUAGAGUGUAAAGGCAUAAGGGAGCUUGACUGCAAGACAGACAUGUCGAGCAGGUGCGAAAGCAGGGCUUAGUGAUCUUGCGAUUCCGUGUGGAAGGGUCGUAACUCAACGGAUAAAAGGUACUCCGGGGAUAACAGGCUUAUCGCGCCCAAGCGCUCACAGCGACGGCGCGGUUUGGCACCUCGAUGUCGGCUCAUCACAUCCUGGGGCUGCAGCUGGUCCCAAGGGUUGGGCUGUUCGCCCAUUAAAGUGGUACGUGAGCUGGGUUUAGAACGUCGUAAGACAGUUCGGUCCCUAUCUUUUACGGGCGUAGGAAAUUUGAGUGGAGCUGCCGCUAGUAUGAGAAGACCGUGGUGGACGAACCUCUGGUGCACCAGUUGUCACGCCUGUGGCAUCGCUGGGUAGCUAUGUUCGGAAAGGAUAAAUGCUGAAAGCAUCUAAGCAUGAAGCCUUCCUCAAGAUAAGAUUUCCCACAGAGUUAAUCUGGUAAGACCCCUUGUAGAUAACGAGGUUGAUAGGCCAAAUGUGUAAGCGCGGUGACGUGUUUAGCUAACUGGUACUAAUUGGUCGAGGGCUUAACUU
rnacentral:rRNA from 1 species